GUUUAGUUGCUCAGGACAGUUGUGACCUCUCUGUAGCGGGACUCUGCCGUUAUGUGGACCUGCUGCUCUGCUUUGGCCCCUCUGUGGCCUCGGAACCCCGCCGGGUUUGUGUGCGAGCAGCGCCGCCUGGUGGCCGCGGGAGGAGCCGCAGUCGGGGCGGCAGCGGCGGCAGCAGUGUGCCGCAGUGCUGCUCUCUCUGCCCGGUGCGCAUCUGAACAUCACCGCGCUCCGGUUACACCGACCGAGGAGGAACCGGAGGAGGAACGGGAGGAGGAACGCAGAUGUUCAGGUCAGAGCCAGAGAAAGUGCAAGACAGGCAGCUCCUGGAGCCGUAGCAGGCAGUGAAGACUGAUCAGUCCCUCUGAGACACAAAUACUCAGGGUGUCAUUUUUUAUUGUUGGGGAUUUAAACGUGAUGUAAAGAUAUAAAGACUGUGUCUUAUCCAGGGUCAGAGGUCAAAUUAAUGAUCCCAUUAAGACCUGAAAACUCAAACCUGGAGAUGAAGCUGCACAAUGCUCAGAUUGCAUCCAACCUUUCUCCUCAGUGUGUCCAGCUUACAGUGAGUGACGCCCGCCACAGGAUGUCCUAAUAACUCUGUGCAUGAAUAAAUAACACACACACACACACACACACACACACACACACACACACACACACACACACACACACACACACACACAGCUAUCGGCUGAGCAGCAGAGCGGGUGUCUUGAUUCCUAGACAGACACACUCAUGCACUUUUAAUGGGAUCCCUCUCUAAAACGAUGGGAUUCCUCUGCCAAGCCUGACCCUCUUUCACCGAGUGUGAGUGUGUGAGAAGUGAGUGCUUAACUGUGUGUGUGUGUGUGUGUGUGUGUGUGUGUGUGUGUGUGUGUGUGUGUGUGUGUGUGUGUGUGGAUAAGGGUCAUCCACCGGCCCAGGGGUGCGAUUUCAGCUUUGCCGGAGGGAGGGUAAGUGAGUGGUCCCAAGACCCCGAAAACCCCAAGGCUUGAAAUCAGACCUCAUCGCACACACUCACCGACGGCAACAUGGCCGAAGUAAAAAUAUCACAGAGCUGCUGUCACCAAGCAGAAUACAGGUUAAUAUCUGGACACAUUUAUUUCCCAUCCUUUUCUUCCCCCUCAAAUUUCACCUUUUGCAUCAUUUUGUACAAAUUUCCCCCAAAAGAAGAAGCUUGUCCCCUCUGAGCUGAGUCAUUAUGAAUGCACCCUGCAAGCAAACACUGUUUAAACCGACAGAACUGUAUUUUAUUUGAGUGAAGAUCCCAAAGUUUCCAAAAAUAUCAAAUGCAUCAGGGUGAAUUUGGGGGAAAUUUGAAUAAAAUCACACACUAUACAUGUAGACUAUGUCUUUUUGUUGGAAUGGUGCAGCCACAAAAAAACAUGUAUUACCUGACAGGGGACCAGUCUGACGCCUACGUCCAUUUAGCAUCUGUUCUAGCACUUUCUUCACUUAUCUUUGUGAAUUCUAUGUUUUAAUUUCCAUUUUCUUAGAUUUGAAUACUCUACUCAGUAUAAAGAGGAUGUGAAUUCACUGCAGAGCUGGAUGCUUUCAGAGAAACAGAACACAAUUAUUUUUCCAACCAUAAAGAUACUGAGAAAUAAGAGGGGAUCACUUCUUUGCAAAAGUACAAAAUAUGUCUGGACCUUUGGUACAUUUGAAUGAAAUGAUAAACAAGACAUUGAGUUUUGGUAAAUAUCAUCAGAUUUUAGGAGGUUUAUUAUGUGUAAUAUAUGUCAGAAGGCAGAUAUUUAAUCCAGAUGUUAAUAUUCAGAUUAUGGGCUGGCUACUAUUCAUACUAUUAAAUUCCAGCUUCACCUCCUAAACUCUUGAUCUCGACUCAUUGAUCGUCCUUUAGGUUGCUCUAAAUUUAGAAACAUUCCUCUCAACUAACAUCACACACACACACACACACACACACACACACAAUAAAUGUGUCUUUCUUUCUUAUUCUGAGCAAAACAGUCAAAAGCUGGAGGUUUGUUUUAUACACAUUUCCCUCAGCCUCAGAUAUUUAUCUUUAUAAGAGAAUCUGUACAAGAAUUUUAAAUAAAGUUAUUAGUUUGAACAAAGUUUGCACACAGAUUUGAACUGG
rnacentral:lncRNA from 15 species